rnacentral:lncRNA from 1 species
AUGUCCAGAGCGAUGCUUCAGGAAAGAGCUCUUCCUAAAUGGCAGGAUGCAUCACAAAUAUGCACGCACUUGGCUGCCACUGGAGAUGUGUGCACGCUGGUCUUUUCUGCACAAGGGAGUGUCUGCCAUUGGAGGAGGCUAAUCAAAACAAGAAAGCUGCAGAAAUGCAGGAGGAAUCAUGUGUGUGCCCUUCAUCCUCACCACUAUCACCGUGGUUGUCAUCAUCACCUUCGCCACCAUCAUCCCUCUCAUCCCCAUCACUCUCAUCACCUCCACCACCAUCUUCAUCAUCAUCACCUUCGUCAUCACCGUCUUCAUCUUCAUAAUCAUCCCUUUCAACCCCAUCACUCUCAUCACCUCCACCAUCUUCAUCAUCACCAUCUUCGUCAUCAUCACCAUCUCCAUCUUUACCGUCAUCACCCUCAUCCCCAUCACUAUCAUCACCACCAUCACCAUCUUCAUCAUCACCUUCGUCAUCACCGUCUUCAUCAUCAUCACCAUCUCCAUCUUCCCCGUCAUCACCCUCAUCCCCAUCACUCAUCACCUCCACCAUCUUCAUCUUCAUCAUCACCACCAUCACCCUCAUCCCCAUCACUCUCAUCACCUCUACCAUCUUCAUCAUCACCAUCUUCGUCAUCAUCACCACCUCCAUCUUCACUGUCAUCACCCUCAUCACCUCCACCAUCUUCAUCAUCACCAUCUUUGUCAUCAUCACCAUCUCCAUCUUCACCAUCAUCCCCAUCACUCUCAUCCCCAUCACUCAUCACCUCCACCACCAUCUUCAUCAUCAUCACCUUCAUCAUCAUCACCAUCUCCAUCUUCCCCAUCAUCACCCUCAUCCCCAUCACUCUCAUCACCACCAUCACCAUCUUCAUCAUCACCGUCUUCAUCAUCAUCACCAUCUCCAUCUUCCCCAUCAUCACCCUCAUCCCCAUCACUCUCAUCACCACCAUCACCAUCUUCAUCAUCACCUUCGUCAUCACCGUCUUCAUCUUCAUAAUCAUCCCUUUCAUCCCCAUCACUCUCAUCACCUCCACCGUCAUCAUCAUCUCCGUCUUCAUCAUCAUCACCAUCUCCAUCUUCACCAUCAUCACUCUCAUCCCCAUCACUCUCAUCACCACUGCCGUCACCACCACCAUCACUAUUGUCAUCAUCGCCAUCACCACCCAUUCCUUGUGCCCAUGCCACGCAUCUGCAUUAAGGAGACCACGGGUUCUACUCUAA